GAUGAAGAACGUAGUGAAAUGCGAUACUUGGUGUGAAUUGCAGAAUCCCGUGAACCAUCGAGUCUUUGAACGCAAGUUGCGCCCGAAGCCAUUAGGCCGAGGGCACGCCUGCCUGGGCGUCACACGUCGUUGCCCCCCCAUCUACUCCUUCGGGAUUGCGGGGGGCGGAUGAUGGCCUCCCGUGCGCCUCGUCGCGCGGUUGGCAUAAAUGCCAAGUCCUCGGCGACGCACGCCACGACAAUCGGUGGUUGCGAAACCUCGGUUGCCCGUUGUGUGCGGUCGUCGCGCAUCGAGGGCUCGAAAAAAUUGCCGGGCUCCGGCUCGGCUUUCAACGCGACCCCAGGUCAGGCGGGGUUACCCGCUGAAUUUAAGCAUAUCAAUAAGCGGAGGA
rnacentral:misc_RNA from 1 species